GACGAACGCUGGCGGCGUGCUUAACACAUGCAAGUGGAGCGACGAACCAGGGCUUGCCCUGGGUCAGAGCCGCGAACGGGUGAGUAACACGUGGGUAACGUGCCCCGAUGACUGGGACAACCCGGGGAAACCCGGGCUAAUACCGGAUGUGCCCCCUCACAUCAGUGAGGUGUGUAAAGGAAGCUUCGGCCUCCGCAUCGGGAUCGGCCCGCGGCCCAUUAGCUUGUUGGUGAGGUAACGGCUCACCAAGGCUGCGAUGGGUAGCUGGUCUGAGAGGACGAUCAGCCACACUGGGACUGAGACACGGCCCAGACUCCUACGGGAGGCAGCAGUGGGGAAUCUUGCGCAAUGCGCGAAAGCGUGACGCAGCAACGCCGCGUGGGGGAAGACGGCCUUCGGGUUGUAAACCCCUUUCAGUUGGGACGAAGGUCGGGCGGUUAACAGCCGUUCCGGCUGACGGUACCUUCACAAGAAGCCCCGGCUAACUACGUG
rnacentral:rRNA from 1 species